rnacentral:lncRNA from 1 species
GCCUUCAAGGCCAUCUGCGUGGAUGAUAGAGAAGGGGCCGAGGCCUGCAGGCCGAAGGAUGGAAGCGGGACUCAAACUCAGGUCCUCAGACGGCUCCUCCCAGGAUAUUCCCCAGUGUAUAGGCAGCCAGAUGGCCUGGAGCUGGGAGCUGGGAUCAAAUCUGGCCUCUGCCACUUUUGAGCUGGGUGACCCUGGACAAGUCACUUAACACUAUCGGCCUCGCUCUUGCUCCUGUCUUCAGAGCCGUUACUAGGCCAGAAAGUAAGGGUUUUAAACAAGAACACUAUCCAGUCUCCCAAGAAAGCCCUUUCCACUCCCCCUGCCCCUCCUGCAAGGCUCCCAGACUCAGGUCUGUCUUUGUUCCAGAAUUCAGGGCUCUGAGCAAGAGUCGAAUGGGAGUCAACACAGGAAGGCGCGGAGGUCAGCUCGGCAUCCUGCCCAGGCUCGGGAGGGAGGUGGGAGGUCCGCUAGCUGAAAGGAGGCAGGUGAGACAGGAGAGGACUCAGCGGUCAGUUGUCAGGGUCAUCCACAUGCAAUUAAGAGCCAAAAAAGACCUUGGCACCCUCCUAAUCCAAUUCCCUCCUGUUACAGCCCAGGAGACCUAGGGGAGGCCUAGCGUGGGAAUAUGAAUUGCCCACAUUAUAUAGCUAAUAAGGGACAGGAGUGAGAUUCGAAUCCAGGUUCCCUGACUCUAAUUCCAACAAUCAUUUAUCCAUUCAACAAAGACAGCUUAAAACUGCAUCAAGGCUUUUGGGCUAUCUGUAUUUUAAAGAGCCUACUAUGUGCAAAGCAGCAUGGGAAAUCCUGGGAACCCUGCCUUUGGAGAGCAGGUAGUCUAAUACCAGAGGAAGAUGUUUGCGAACAAAGGAGAAUGAGGUCGGGACCAGAAGAAAUCUGGGGAGGGGGAGACAGGCUUCCCCUGGGGGGAGGAAGAGAAGGAAGGCUCGGUGAGGCUCUGUGGCCACAGCACUAAGCCUUAAAGGAGUGCAGGCCCUGAGGAUGGCGAUGCAGGAGAGGACCUGCUAGACCCAGGGGCUGAGGGGAGCAGAGGCCAGCACCCAAGAGAGCAGAAGAAUGGUGGGUCUCCAGUCUGAGGGGGAUGAAGAACACAUGAAGGUUUUUGCAUGAUCACACAUGUAUAAGCCAGGUCAAAUCACUUACCAUCCCUGGGAGGGGGGAGACUAGGGACAGAGGGAGAUAAUUGGGAUCAGAAAACUGGGGGGAAUUGUUAUUAGAUGGAAUGGGGAAAAUAAAGUCUCUUUUAAAGUUUUAAAAGAACA